rnacentral:rRNA from 1 species
GAUGAACGCUGGCGGCGUGCCUAAUACAUGCAAGUCGAGCGAACAGACGAGGAGCUUGCUCCUUUGACGUUAGCGGCGGACGGGUGAGUAACACGUGGAUAACCUACCUAUAAGACUGGGAUAACUUCGGGAAACCGGAGCUAAUACCGGAUAACAUGUUGAACCGCAUGGUUCAACAGUGAAAGACGGUCUUGCUGUCACUUAUAGAUGGAUCCGCGCCGCAUUAGCUAGUUGGUAAGGUAACGGCUUACCAAGGCAACGAUGCGUAGCCGACCUGAGAGGGUGAUCGGCCACACUGGAACUGAGACACGGUCCAGACUCCUACGGGAGGCAGCAGUAGGGAAUCUUCCGCAAUGGGCGAAAGCCUGACGGAGAAACGCCGCGUGAGUGAAGAAGGUCUUCGGAUCGUAAAACUCUGUUAUUAGGGAAGAACAAAUGUGUAAGUAACUAUGCACGUCUUGACGGUACCUAAUCAGAAAGCCACGGCUAACUACGUG